AUGACCUUCAGGCCCUGCUGGGCCCAGCUAUGGCAGUGGCUCUGCUCAUUCUCUGAGAGGGGACAGGAGAUCGUGACCUCAGAAGGAAAUGAGAACUGGAUGAAGGUUUCUCUUGAAUGGCUGUGUGGCCCUGAGGAAUUCCUAUGACCUCUCUAGGCUCCGAACUGUUUGUGAUGUCUGUCGGAGGCACACUCAUCAUGUGAUCAUUAGGAGAAAAUAAAACAGAGAUAAAGAUGCCCCACUGGAAUGAGGA